AUUGAACGCUGGCGGCAGGCCUAACACAUGCAAGUCGAGCGGUAGCACAAGAGAGCUUGCUCUCUGGGUGACGAGCGGCGGACGGGUGAGUAAUGUCUGGGAAACUGCCUGAUGGAGGGGGAUAACUACUGGAAACGGUAGCUAAUACCGCAUAACGUCGCAAGACCAAAGAGGGGGACCUUCGGGCCGCUUGCCAUCAGAGGUGCCCAGAUGGGAUUAGCUAGUAGGUGGGGUAACGGCUCACCUAGGCGACGAUCCCUAGCUGGUCUGAGGGGAUGACCAGCCACACUGGAACUGAGACACGGUCCAGACUCCUACGGGAGGCAGCAGUGGGGAAUAUUGCACAAUGGGCGCAAGCCUGAUGCAGCCAUGCCGCGUGUAUGAAGAAGGCCUUCGGGUUGUAGAGUACUUUCAGCGGGGAGGAAGGUGUUGAGGUUAAUAACCUCAGCAAUUGACGUUACCCGCAGAAGAAGCACCGGCUAACUCCGUGCCAGCAGCCGCGGUAAUAC
rnacentral:rRNA from 1 species